CUCCCUCCUCCGGGGUGUCAGAGGCCCCCCUUGAGCUGUAACUCGAGUCGCUUCCUGGCCGCAGUGCCUUUGGGCCUCCGCCUUUCUCCGCCCAUGCGAGCGCGUAAAAAGGGGCCGUCUGGCUGCUCCCGUGGCCGCUCUCAAGUCACUCAAACUUGGGGAGCCACGCUGAGAAAGGAGGGGCCCUGGCUCCGCACCGCGGAUAGAGCGCCCCCCGGUGGCCAAGACGCGCUAUCUCCCGCUCAAAAGGGGGCAACUACAUUUCCGGGUGUCACGGGGGACACACGAAAAGUCGCAAAUAACAACACGAAAGCAAACAAACAAGUAAAUGCAUGCGAGGUUUAACUUGAAUUCGAAUAUAAACACUAUUUUGUUUCGUGAGCCGUGUGUGGGCGCCACACCAGGAAGUCACCUGCCUGCCACUCCCAGCCAGUCACAGCAAGCCUGUUUUCAACACAAACCCAACCGGAAGUCAUUAUUUCCGAGCUCAGCCCCACUCAAUGACAUCAUUACCUGAAAGACAGUAGCAUGUGCCAGCACUAAGAUAAAGAAGAGUCUUCAAUCAAGGUAAAAGUGAUGUUAAAUGUUCAUUUAUACACUUCAUUUGUCAUUAAUUUGCAUUUCUAAUUAUUUAUGUGUAGAUACUAUAAUCAUACGUUUUAUAUUGUUAAUAUUUGUGGGUGUCUGUUAGGAAUGAAUUAGAUUUGCAUUAUUUCUAAUGGGAAAAAUUGUUUUGUUUCUCACAUGAUUUGGUCUUUCAGCUUUCCGAACGGCAGUAGGAAGGUUUAACUGCUGUUUUAUGAAUUGUGUCAUUGUGUGACUCUGCUAAGUUGUGUGCACCAAAGUGUGUGUGCAUUGAAACAUAGUGUAUCAACCCUAAACCAGGGCUCUCUAACGGGCAGCUUGCCAGUCCCUCACUGAAGGCGUCAACGGGCAUUUUCUUAUUCUCAUAACUGUUCAAUUCAGACAUCAUGCCUCUAUUGUUAUGAUCUGCCGCCUGUCGGCUUUUUGUUGCAUGGCUGGGUUUUGGGCUACGGGGCAGAGUCACCUGCGCGCACACCUGAUACCCAUUUCUACCUGACUACUUGAGCUCUCCAGUCCAUCCACUCGGCGCCAGUAGAUUCCUGACAGUUCACCCUUCAGUCGUGUUCAUCUCCUCUGCCCUCGCUCCACUCACUGGUCUCCUUCCUGUGGCUCUGUUGUGUAGUGUUAACUGUUUUCUCUCCACACCUUUUGUGUGUUAUUUUGCCUCACUCCUUUUUGACUGCGCUUUGUGUUAUUAUUAUUAUUAUUAUUUUGUCUUUGUGUUGGGCUCCUACUCCAGGCGAAAGCCGAUCAUUGCAUCUAUUUAAAGAUUAAAGAUACCAAUGAUUGUCACACACACAC